rnacentral:rRNA from 1 species
CCUACGGGAGGCUGCAGUGAGGAAUAUUGGUCAAUGGACGCAAGUCUGAACCAGCCAUGCCGCGUGCAGGAAGACGGCUCUAUGAGUUGUAAACUGCUUUUGUACGAGGGUAAACGCAGAUACGCGUAUCUGUCUGAAAGUAUCGUACGAAUAAGGAUCGGCUAACUCCGUGCCAGCAGCCGCGGUAAUACGGAGGAUUCAAGCGUUAUCCGGAUUUAUUGGGUUUAAAGGGUGCGUAGGCGGUCGGAUAAGUUAGAGGUGAAAUCCCGAGGCUCAACUUCGGAAUUGCGUUUGAUACUGUUCGGCUGGAGAGUAGUUGCGGUAGGCGGAAUGUAUGGUGUAGCGGUGAAAUGCUUAGAGAUCAUACAGAACACCGAUUGCGAAGGCAGCUUACCAAGCUACUUCUGACGUUGAGGCACGAAAGCGUGGGGAGCAAACAGGAUUAGAUACCCCAGUAGUC